rnacentral:pre_miRNA from 1 species
UCUUAUGGAUAACCAAAGAAAGUGGCUUCUCAAUGGAAUCUAUUUCUGGUGAAGAUGCUGUGAA